AGAGUUUGAUCAUGGCUCAGAACGAACGUUAGCGGCGCGCCUAACACAUGCAAGUCGCACGAGAAAGGGCUUCGGCCCCGGUAAAGUGGCGCACGGGUGAGUAACACGUGGGUAAUCUUCCCUCGAGCGGGGGAUAACAUUCCGAAAGGAGUGCUAAUACCGCAUAAGACCACGGACUCGAAAGAGUCUGCGGUCAAAGCUGGCCUCUGUACACAAGCUAGCACUUGAGGAUGAGCCCGCGGCCCAUCAGGUAGUUGGAAGGGUAACGGCCUACCAAGCCUAAGACGGGUAGCUGGUCUGAGAGGAUGAUCAGCCACACUGGAACUGAGACACGGUCCAGACUCCUACGGGAGGCAGC
rnacentral:rRNA from 1 species